UGGUGGUGAUGCUGCUAGUGAUGGUUCAUUUUCAUCCUUCGAGGAGUUGUUACUGAUCGAGGACCUUACUGCCAUCAAGAUCCAAGCCUUUUUCAGGGCUCAUCUUGCAAGACGAGCAUACCAAGCUCUGCGGACUAUUGUGAAGCUGCAGGCACUGGUUCGUGGCUUUGACAUCUGUUUGUAAGUGUAAGGAAGAACAUCACUUCCAUUCUUUCUUCUUCAAUUCUUUUAUUCAAAAAAUUGUGAAAUUU